rnacentral:rRNA from 1 species
CAGUAGCCGCGGUAAUACAGAGGGUGCGAGCGUUAAUCGGAUUUACUGGGCGUAAAGCGUGCGUAGGCGGCUAAUUGAGUCGGAUGUGAAAUCCCCGAGCUUAACUUGGGAAUUGCAUUCGAUACUGGUUAGCUAGAGUGUGGGAGAGGAUGGUAGAAUUCCAGGUGUAACGGUGAAAUGCGUAGAGAUCUGGAGGAAUACCGAUGGCGAAGGCAGCCAUCUGGCCUAACACUGACGCUGAGGUACGAAAGCAUGGGGAGCAAACAGGAUUAGAGACCCGCGUAGUCCCUGUCUCUUAUAC